GUGGGGAAUAUUGGACAAUGGGCGAAAGCCUGAUCCAGCCAUGCCGCGUGUGUGAAGAAGGUCUUCGGAUUGUAAAGCACUUUAAGUUGGGAGGAAGGGCAGUAAGUUAAUACCUUGCUGUUUUGACGUUACCGACAGAAUAAGCACCGGCUAACUUCGUGCCAGCAGCCGCGGUAAUACGAAGGGUGCAAGCGUUAAUCGGAAUUACUGGGCGUAAAGCGCGCGUAGGUGGUUUUGGAAGUUGGAGGUGAAAUCCCCGGGCUCAACCUGGGAACUGCCUCCAAAACUGCAUGACUAGAGUACGGUAGAGGGUAGUGGAAUUUCCUGUGUAGCGGUAAAAUGCGUAGAUAUAGGAAGGAACACCAGUGGCGAAGGCGACUACCUGGACUGAUACUGACACUGAGGUGCGAAAGCGUGGGGAGCAAACAGGAUUAGAAACCCCAGUAGUCC
rnacentral:rRNA from 1 species